rnacentral:rRNA from 1 species
UACGUAGGGUGCGAGCGUUAAUCGGAAUUACUGGGCGUAAAGCGUGCGCAGGCGGUUCGCCAAGUCAGGUGUGAAAUCCCCGGGCUUAACCUGGGAAUUGCGCUUGAAACUAGCGGGCUUGAGUGCCGGAGAGGAAAGCGGAAUACCUGGUGUAGAGGUGAAAUUCGUAGAUAUCAGGUGGAACACCAGUGGCGAAGGCGGCUUUCUGGACGGUAACUGACGCUGAGGCACGAAGGCCAGGGGAGCAAACGGG